GCGCCCAUAGCUCAGUGGAUUAGAGCGUUUGCCUCCGGAGCAAAAGGUCGUGGGUUCGAAUCCCCCUGGGCGCACCA
rnacentral:tRNA from 1 species